ensembl:lncRNA
AUAACAACUCAGAAUAAGACAUAGAGUAGUACUCAGAUGCCUAGAAAGAGGGACAUCUAAGAAGGACUUUGUUAGAAAUCUACAAAAACAUGAGAGGUAUGAAAAAGAUAAGCAGUAUGUGAUCGUUUUCUUUUUUUUCUUUCUUUCUUUUUUUUCUUUUUUUUUAAUGAGAUUUAGGGAGCAUCAAAAGGAAACCUACAGACAAAACCAUCAAAGUGAGAUGGCUUUUAACACAACAUGCAGAUUCAUCACCUCCCUGGGCAGCUGGUGCCAAUGCCUCACCACUCUUUCUGAGAAGAAAUUCUUCCUAAUAUCCAACCUGAACCUCCCCUGGCACAUGAACCCACUCAAGAGCAGAAGAUAUCAUUCUAGACGAGAGAUCCAUCACAUCUUCAAACUGUAAAUAUUACUGAGGUAAAGGAUAAGAUUACAGACAGAGAAGAUUCAGGAAAAGAAAAUUCUCUCCCUUGGAUGCCUUUUAACCUAAAGGAUACAGACAAAGAGGAACAUAUGAAACCCAACACCAAAGAAGGAAGGAAACGGUGAUAGCUGAUUUUAUAUUUUAUUAAUGUGGUUAUUAGGCAUACGCACUGUAGCAUUGCCUCAAAUUACCUAUCAAGUCCUGUCUAUGUUACAGUUUGUACAAUCUGAUCUUGAUUAAAGGCAAGAUGCUGUACAAGUAUAUACAAAACUCUGUCUUUUCACUACAAUGUUUCAAAUUUUUGUUCUAAUAAAU